GUGUGACUGGGCAUGACAGUUACAGUGCUGUGCAGUAGCCUCCAAACUCAGGACUGUUGGCCCUGAGAAGGUAAUCUCAGUCUGUGAGAGUAAGAAGACCCAAUUACUCCCCAUUUAGCUGCAAAGUGGCUCUGGCUCUGGUUAGUAUGUGCAUGGAGGGAGCACCUGGCCAUCUCUCAGACUUGGAAAAGGAGAAUCUCAUGGCACUGGAGGUAUCAUGAUAUAUUCUCAGAUCUCUGCGGUGUUAUGAUGAGUCUGCAUCUGGAGUAACUUCUCACUGUUUUCUAUUGGAUUUUUGGAAGGUAUAUCCAUUUUGUGCAUCUCUUUAAAGAAUUUUCUAUAAUGGCUAGUCAAACAAAAUGAAAAAAUUUAAAGCUGCUAAUACUGUGGUGUAAUUUAGAAAUAUGAGUUAUUCAUAAGAAAAACUGCUAAAAUAUUAAAAGGAAUUAUAGUGAAGGGGUAUAAGAUUGCUUUUUAUUCUUGGUAAACAACUCUGCUUCUUUAUCUUUUU
rnacentral:lncRNA from 1 species